CGCUGGCGCCUCUGAAACGCUGGCGCCUCUGAAACGCUGGCGCCUCUGAAACGCUGGCGCCUCUGAAACGCUGGCACAGCUGCGCUGGUGCCUCUGUUGCGCCGGCGUCUCUUACGCCGUCGCCCCUGAAACGCUGGCGCCUCUGAAAAGCUGGCGCCUCUGAAACGCUGGCGCCUCUGAAACGCUGGCGCCUCUGAAACGCUGGCGCCUCUGAAACGCUGGCGCCUCUGAAACGCUGGCACAGCUGCGCUGGUGCCUCUGUUGCGCCGGCGUCUCUUACGCCGUCGCCGUUCGGCGACGCUGGCGCGGCGCGUCUCUUUAUAGUGAGUACCCGGCUUUACGCCGUCGCCGUCGCCGUCGUCGUCCGGCGACGUGAACCUAUCGUACGUAUGUGAACGCGCCUUUAGGGACAAACGCGCUUUGCUUGCGUGCGUACGAGCGUACGUACGUGAGUUUGAACCUGAAUCUGGAGAAGAAUGAAACGUCACAAGUGUUGCAUACGAUUACGAUCGUUGGCGAAGUACUGAGCGACUGGUGUGCUCGCUGACGGCAUUUCUGGUUUCGCAUCUGCCAAGGACUCAUGACGCCGGUUCGAACCCCGAUGACUAAUCUCGGUGAGAACGAGAUGCUCGUAAAGCAAUAAUCAAUCCGUUCCUACGGCCCGGCCGCGCGGAUGAAUAAUCGCAGCCAGACGCAGCAACAAUUCACCGUGCACGCGUGUCCAGCUGAUGCAAGUUCGCCUCCCUGAAAACACGAGCCGUCGUACAGAACGAUCACGUUCAACGAACGUGGCUUAUCAUCCUCCGGGAGAGGAAGGAUAAAUAACACGUGUGUGUGCCAAAGUUUGCGAUACGCAAUCGGCCGGCUGCCGUUGCUCGCUGCUCCGAACUCGAGAAUCGUGUAAUGGAAACUACGAGACUACUCCGAGCCACUGUGUCGUCAACGUUGAAAUUAUUCUGCCAAUCCUGAAAACCGCCCCAUUAAAAUUAUUGACGUGUAAUAAUAAUACCGACGUUAAAGUCAAAUAAAAGGAUCGCGACGCGAGCGUCUCGCUGUGUCUCAUUAUUUUGCCAAUUUCCUCGGCAGACAGAUCCUCGGCAGAUCGUACGGCUGGAAAAACCCGGUGAUUUAGAAUUGAUUUGACCUGAGAGCGCGGAGGAUGCACGUUUACCGCUAGAUUGGUCGAUCUCGUUUAAUGGCGAUUCAGAAUCGUGCGAAAGCCGGGGUUACAGGCCGAAUAACCCGCGGACUUCCGUUCAGUCCUUGAUGGAGAUGAAUAUUGGAGUCACGCGCGGCCCGUCACUUAAUACGAGCCGGAGUCGACGUGACUGCCGCGAAUUUUAUCCAUCCGCGCACGAUUCAGGACGAGAUUAUUUUCGAGCGGCGUCCAUUCUCUCCGCAUACAUCGGCGUUGCCUGCAUUAUCUCGAUCUUAUCCGCUUACGUGUGCGCUUAUUAUAAUAUUUCAAGCGGGAGGCUUUGUUUCGCGAGUUACGACUUCGAGGUAACGUAAACGAUCCCGUCGACUUACGACGGCGGGACGUCUCGCACGUUAAUUGAGCGAGGCCACUGCGUAAUUUCUCACGUUGAUAUAAUUUUUCAGGGCGUAACUGUUGCUGAAACAGCAACGAGUGGUCUCUGGGAACGCGCGCAGGUAAAUGCAACCGCGCUGCGGAAGGAAGAUGAUGAUCGCGGGCACAUCAGUAAUAAAUCGCGCGAAGAUGAACUCGAUUACGAAGAACUUUACGGCCGAGUUACGGCUCCAGUUUCCAGUAACGAGACAGAACGAGAAAUCCACCAUGCACCGUGGCGGUGUAUUCGCGGGAGAUAAGAAUCGCGCGUAUCUGCCGGGCACGGUAAUGGCACGCGAUAAAAAAGGAUACGGGAACAAUUACCAUAAACUUUACGAGCGAUCCUAAGUGAGCGGGACAGCCUCGUUAAUCGUCGACGAAACAAAACAAACCCGCGUGAUUAUACGGGACCAUACGGGAAUUUUUGUCAAGCGCGAACAUCCUUAUAUAGUGGUCCCCUCGGCAAAAACUCGUCUGCAUUCCGUUUAACGAGCAAGAUUCGUGUAAUUAUUUCAUUUAUUAUUCUCGCACGCGCUGUUAUUAUCUAAUAAGCGACGUGAGUUACCCGCUGUGUAAGUCCGAAUUAGGGUGUUCGUCACUUUCUGUAAAAUUAAAAUUAAUAAAACAGAGAUAGAAAAAAAGCAUAAAAGUGUACGACUGUUAUAUUGUACUGUUAUUCGAAUAAUCGUUAUUUGAUAGUUAAUUAUUUAUUUGAAAAGAAAAAAAGAACGGAAAUUUUAAAAACUUACGUUCACACUAUUUUGUAUACCUAAUACGAAUAUUAUUUUAAUUUAUAUCUAGGCGAAAAACGCUAUGAUGAAAAAUACUAGCGGAAAUGUUUCAGCAAGGAACCUGAGAAAAAAGCGAAGAAAUACUGCCAGUUGGCGCACACGAGCCUGAUGCAGUCGUGUCUAUGACGCAAGUGCAUCCAGCAUCAUCUGCUCCCAUGCAGUUAACCCAACCGGAUAUGGCACAGACCCCCAGAGGUUAAGAGACAUUAAUGGGCUAAUAGCAACGCUAAUGAUUCAUUAGCCAGUACGUUAACGUCGACUAACUUUCUGUGGCAGUUCACGUAGACCGCAACAUCAACAUCCGAUUGACCGUCUGUCCGAGGUCAAAGACCUUGGUUUUCGAUUUCUCGUUUUCCAGAAAAUCUCAUUAAUUAUACAUAAAUAAAUACACAAAUCGAACAAAAUUUUAAUAUCCUCUUAUAUUCACCAAGAAAGAAAGACAAACAUUUUGCGAUUCUAAUGAAGAAAUCCAACAAUCUGACGUUGUUCUUAAUAAAACCACAUUACGAAUUUACUUAACGCCAAGUGCAAAAUGCUCCUCGCUCUCUUGCUGCAUCUUCUUUCCAGUCUAGUGCUCUUGUAAAUUCAGCGAACCGAUUUCUACUUGAUAAUUCAACCAUUCGUUCGACUAUUCGUACGCUUGCUUUCGUCGUCGCGCGAUUCUUCCUGCGGCUUGGUUGGCGAGGCUCAUGGAGGAAAGCUUUAAUGCCACGUCGUGGUCGCGCGCACAUUAACGGCAUGAUAUUUAUCAGGAGGCGCACGUUUCUUGCGAGGAUGCGUGCUUGCAACCGGUCGGGCCACAAAUUGCAGAUCCAGCCUUGUUCGAACUCUCGCAGCCUUCCCGCUCGAUCUUCCUGUUUCGCGAAGGAGGUUUCAGGGUCUUGACACCUGACACGUUACUUAAAAGGAACGGGGACCUUCGUUCCUGACGACGGGGAAACGCACGAUCAUGCCGAUGUGUCGCUCGCACUUCCGUGACCGUAGAAUUUUUAUCGAUACACGGUCGCCUUAAUAAGCGUGUAUAUCUGUAACAUGUAUUUCUCGCGACUCAUCCGCGUUUACGACGACGCGAUACGCAUCCGCGUCUCAUAAAAAUUUACAACGAACGUGUCUCAGACGUGUUAUUCGAGCGUUUCCCGGACGUGGAGCGUUUAGCGUUAACGUUCUCGCGCUUUUAUUUUCCGAUUAUGUCGCAGAGAUAAUGGCGUUCGACAAGAAACGCGGUGUCAAGAGAGGGAGACCGCCCGUUCACAUUAUCUUAAUCCUUGACAUUUGCCAGGAUAUCAUAUUCGUCGAUCUCGAGGAGCGCUCUAACUAGGAUCACCGCAGCAAAUGUAAUUAUUCUUCCGUGGACACGAUCGAACGGCUGAUAAUCGCUGAUAAUGGCACGUUAUAAUUGAACAGAAAUUGGCGAAUUGCGAGUAAAACCGGGAAUGUGAAACCAGAAAAAGUGUUGCGAUGAUGGCUGCAGUGGAGACCUAAUUAAAAGCUUCAUUCCAACGGCUCUCGUCGCUGCGAGCCGUAUCGCCGGUCGGCUGGCUUAUCAACAUACACCUCGAAUUUCCACGUCGCACCGGCACGUUUCGAAUUCUCGUCACGGAGUUAUCGUUUGUCCGCCGUAUACGGCGCAUACCUGGCACGCCGCGACAUGAACGUUUAAUACAUCUGGGAUUAUCAGCGUAUAACUUCGCGACGGCCGAUCGAGAAAUAGCCGCGCUGAUAUUCGCAAAAACGAAAUAUAUCGCAGCCGCGGAGUGAUAUACGCCGGCCUCGGCGGAGACGCGUGAUCCGUUCGUAAAAAAUUCCAUUACGGGCGCAUAGUUGGCUCCGAGGCACGUCCUCGCCGAUUCGUUUGUAGAACAGGAAAAGAUAAUGUCUCUUAUUUUCAUGCACGCCCGCCGGCAUUUAUUUCACGUUUCGCUGGCCAUUUAGAAAUUGAGUAUCGCCCAGCUGCGAGAAUCGAGAGAAUUGCAUAUCGAGGGUUUUGUCUAAAUCAAAUUCCACGUUGCACUGCGUAUAAUCCACGAAUUUUUUCGCAGAAUGUAAAAAUUCUAUGUAAAAUCAGAAACUGAUAUAUGCAAAAUUAAUUUCUUUAAAUUAUUCAACGAUAUAUGUCUAGUUUAUCAUAUAAAAUUAUAUUUUUUAUUUACCCAAUUGUCAGUUGAAAAGCCGCAAUGAAAUCAAUACUCGGCGAUCCAGUCGGCUCGUUAAUUUCCGGCCUUUAAAUUCUCAUUUCCAUCCGGUCGAAAGCUCGUCGUGGAAAUUGAGCGUCGUUACGAGAGCUUAUCCGAUUGAAACGACCGCGACCCAAUUAGUCCGACUCUACGCGUGGCAAUUUUCUUCUUUUUUCAUUUGCACACUGUCGACGAGGUCCGGUCACCCACGCGAUGUUCAAGACUGGGAAUGGAGGACCAUCGUCCCUUUCCCGUGCCUGGGAAAAAGUCGUUUCUUUGAACUUCCGCGGAAAGUAGAACUCGGCUGAGAUCUCCCGCCACUCUCGGAAAGAAAGAACAACGUGCUUUCUCAGUUGGAGAGAACAGCGUGCAGCCGACUGCCUUAUGCCAUCGCAUCACGAAAACAGACGCAAAGUAAGUCGGAAGCUUUUAACGAGUCUGCCUACAAUCACUGCAAGGAACUCAGUAAGCCCGCGCUAGCGGCUUUUACAAACAUUUCUGUCUAUAA